GAGAGUAAAACAGUACGUGAAAUUGUUGAAAGGGAAACGAUUGAAGUCAGUCAUGCCGGCGUUGGAUUCAGCUUGCUUCGCGGAGCGGGCGCAUUUCCUCGCAUGGCAGGUCAGCGUCAGUUUUGCGCGGCGCGAAAAGGCUCGGGUAAGGUAGCUCUCUUCGGGGAGUGUUAUAGACCUGGGCAGAUACGCUGCGCGGGACUGAGGAUUGCAGCGGACAUCCCUUCGGGGGCGCGGCGACCGAACCCUGCUCGGCCACCCGAGUUCGAUAGCGUGCUAACGGACGCGGGAGCGGCAGUGCACCGGAACAGGCAAGCCAGCGGUUCGCUUAGGAUGCUGACGUAAUGGCUUUAAACGA
rnacentral:rRNA from 1 species